CGCCCCGGGCCUUUCACCUCAGCAUCGCGGCCUGUCCGGGGCCAGCGGUCGCCAUCCCUCCCCUCCUCCGCGGCCGAGAUCAGACUUCUCUGCCUCUCGGGGAAAAGACGAGUUCCCGGCGGCAGUGACGAGCCGUGCCAGCGCCGAACCCCUCAGAGAGGUAACAGCCCCGCUCCACUCUGAGCGCCAGCCAUGAAGGCAAAUGGCGGCCGCCAUUUCGAAGCCCCUCUCGGCUGAGGCGCGACCUCCACCACACACAGCAGCGGCUCGACCCCGCAGGGCCGGAGAUCUCGACGGGAACGGAUGCUGGGCGGGACGGGACGGUGUGGACGAGGCACAGCAGAGGAGCGGGGGCGGUGCGGAGCCCUCUCAGGCGGCGCUGCCUCGUCCCUGUGGCGCGGCCCGGCUGCUCCAGCUCCCGGCGGGAAAGCCCGCGGUCUCUUGGAAAAGAUCCUUACAGUACAGCUAGAACGGCUUUUCCAAACACUGCCAGCCUGUUCAACGUACCUGUUCCCAGUCAGGGUACAGUCACGGCGGGUGACUGCGUUGCACUGAAGCUACAUGAGUGGUAUGCGUGGCUUAAGGACCUCCUAUCCCACGGUGGUUUUCCAAACAGACAGUUGUCUUGCAGUGGCUUUUAUUGCAACCAAAGAUGCUGAAAUAUAUCGAUGUCUAACAGGCAAGAAAAAAUUCCGCUUUUAAAUGGAAACAUUUGAGCAUGCCGCUCUCAAUCUGUACCUGGCAACUUGGUAAAUCCCCUCCAAAAAGAUGGUGUUGCAGAAGGCUUGUGAUCCUGAG